GACCUUUUAAUGGGCAAUUUUUCCUUCACUUCAGAAGGCUUGCCAUCUGCUUCUGUGCUGCCAGGUGUAUAUCCAGAUGCCUCAGCGAUACCAUUUGGGGAAGGCAUUGCAAAAGGACUAAAUGGAUAAGAUCCCGGAGGAAUGGAUGGAUGAGCAUAUAUGCCACCAUGGGGAUACAUGGCAACAUAUGGAUGUGGUGGGGUACCAUAUGGGGGCAUGAUAUGCUGAACCCCCC
rnacentral:misc_RNA from 1 species